rnacentral:rRNA from 1 species
UAACGCGUGAGGAACCUGCCUUUCAGAGGGGGGACAACAGUUGGAAACGACUGCUAAUACCGCAUAACACAUAGGUGUCGCAUGGCAUUUAUGUCAAAGAUUUAUCGCUGAAAGAUGGCCUCGCGUCUGAUUAGCUAGUUGGUGAGGUAACGGCUCACCAAGGCGACGAUCAGUAGCCGGACUGAGAGGUUGGCCGGCCACAUUGGGACUGAGAUACGGCCCAGACUCCUACGGAAGGCAGCAG